UACGGAGGAUGCGAGCGUUAUCCGGAUUUAUUGGGUUUAAAGGGUGCGUAGGCGGCUUUUUAAGUCAGCGGUGAAAUUUUGCAGCUUAACUGUAACAGUGCCGUUGAUACUGGGGAGCUAGGAUUUGGUUGCUGUGGGUGGAAUGUGUGGUGCAGCGGUGAAAUGCUUAGAGAUCACACAGAAUAUCGAUUGCGAAGGCAGCUCACAAAGCCAAGAUUGACGCUGAGGCACGAAAGUGUGGGGAUCAAACAGGAUUAGA
rnacentral:rRNA from 1 species